CUUCCAUUUUUCUUUCUCCAGCAAAACCAGGGCUACAGUUUACAGAAGCGGCGACUCUGAAAUCGUCUCAACUUUAACCUUCUUCUAUCUACUAUUAGUCUACGACCCUGAUCCUACAUCGCCAUCAUCUCAAAGUGUUGCCGAUUUUGGUUGACAAGUUGCUGAUUUUUGUUGCCAAUCAAAUGAAUUCUACAGAUGUCCUUGGACCUUUGACCAUCUAUGAGGAAAAAUGAACAUCAAAGUGCAGCUGGGGGAGUUAACAGUUUAAGGGUGUGUUACCAGUACCACUCUAUGAAGUCUUUGUCAGACUCCAGUAGCCAACAGUUGAACAAUUUCCUUGUGCCUUUGUUUCUUAUUUGCCAAUAAGUUCUCGGCUCGUAAGUCUUGCAGAUUAGUUGAUCAGUGAUUUCAUUUUAGGUUUUGGAUUUCAUUCAUUUUCUAGUUCUACAGAGAGUAAAACUCUUGGAGGGUCUUUCAUCAUUCUUUGGUUCAUUAUAAUUAUUCUGCACAGAGAUUCUAAUUAAUAAUUUAUUCAAAAUAGUUUUAUGGUUGUA